rnacentral:rRNA from 1 species
GAUGAACGCUAGCUACAGGCUUAACACCUGCAAGUCGAGGGUCCGGCGCACGGGUGAGUAACACGUACCCAACCUGCCCUUUACUCGGGGAUAGCCUUUCGAAAGAAAGAUUAAUACCCGAUGUAAAGUAUGGGGAUGCGUUUCAUUAGGUUGUUGGUGAGGUACCGGCACACCAAGCCUUCGAUGGAUAGGGGUUCUGAGAGGAAGUUCCCCCACAUUGGAACUGAGACACGGUCCAAACUCCUACGGGAGGCAGCAGUGGGGAAUAUUGGUCAAUGUGCGUUAGCCUGAACCAGCCAAGUGGCGUGAAAGAUGAAGGCUUAUGGGUCGUAAACUUCUUUUGUAUAAGAAUAUGUAGUAUAUGAAUAAGGAUCGGCUAACUCCGUGCCAGCAGCCGCGAUAAUAC